CAGUCGAACGGGAGACCUUCGGGUCUCUAGUGGCGAACGGGUGAGUAACACCUUAAGAACCUGCCCGCGCACCGGGAAUACGCUCUGGAAACGGAGAACAAAUCCCGAUGUACAGGAAGGAGGCAUCUUCUUUCUAUGAAACAUCCUUUAGGGGAUGGGGCGCGGAUGGACCUGCGGUGCAUUAGUUGGUUGGCGGGGUAAAGGCCCACCAAGACGAUGAUGCAUAGCCGGCCUGAGAGGGCGGACGGCCACAUUGGGACUGAGACACGGCCCAGACUCCUGCGGGAGGCAGCAGUAGGGAAUUUUCGUCAAUGGGCGCAAGCCUGAACGAGCGAUGCCGCGUGAGUGAAGAAGGCCUUCGGGUCGUAAAGCUCUGUUGCGGGGGAAAAAAGGCAGCAUCAGGAAAUGGGUGCUGACUGAUGGUGCCCCGCCAGAAAGUCACGGCUAACUACGUGCCAGCAGCCGCGGUAAUACGUAGGUGGCGAGCGUUAUCCGGAAUGAUUGGGCGUAAAGGGUGCGCAGGCGGUCCUGCAAGUCUGGAGUGAAACGCAUGAGCUCAACUCAUGCAUGGCUUUGGAAACUGGAGGACUGGAGAGCAGGAGAGGGCGGUGGAACUCCAUGUGUAGCGGUAAAAUGCGUAGAUAUAUGGAAGAACACCAGUGGCGAAGGCGGCCGCCUGGCCUGUUGCUGACGCUGAGGCACGAAAGCGUGGGGAGCAAAUAGGAUUAGAUACCCUAGUAGUCCACGCC
rnacentral:rRNA from 1 species